rnacentral:tRNA from 1 species
GCGGAUGUGGUGUAAUUGGUAACACAAUAGCCUUCCAAGCUAUUAUUGCGAGUUCGAAACUCGUCGUCCGCUCCA